AAAUAUAGAAAAUGUUUGUUAUAGAUGUAGCAUGAAAGGCCAUUGGUUACGUACUUGUCGUACACCAAAAACAUCUUGUUAAACUUUAUCAAGCAUCAUUAAAAAAUAAAGGAAAAAUAUCGAAACAAAUUUUGUUGAAGAUGAUAGCCAAGUUGAUAUAACACACUUGGAUGUUGCUGAUUUUUUUACUCACCCUGAAGGAUGGAUUGAUCAUUUGAUUAGUGAUGGAAAUCCCAAUAAUGAAAUUUCUUAAAUUAUUUGUUGAUGCGUUUUA
rnacentral:lncRNA from 1 species